rnacentral:sRNA from 1 species
GCCGGGCAUGGUGGCUCAUGCCUGUAAUCCCAGCACUUUGGGAGGCUGAGGCGGGCAGAUCACUUGAGGUCAGGAGUUCAAGACCAGCCUGGCCAUCAUGGUGAAACCCUGUCUCUACUACAAAUACAAAAAAUUAGCCAGGUGUGGUGGUGCACACCUGUAAUCUCAGCUACUCAGGAGGCUGAGAAACAAGAAUCACUUGAGCCUGAGAGGCAGAGAUUGCAGUGGCCUGAGAUCGCGCCAUUGCACUCCAGCCUGGGCAACAGAGUGAGACUCUGUCUCU